GAAACCCCAUUGAGGAGAAGAAAGGAAGUGGGCAUCUUUAUAGACAAAUUUAGAUAGACUUUAUUAAUCAUCUUUAUAGACAAAUUAUAUUUAGUUUCCCUAAUGGCGCAUAUCAACUAUCAAGUCCAUGCAUGCUGAUUAACAAGUGUAGAAUCUAUUAAUAUAUCCAAAAAACAAAUGUAGAUAAAACAUGCCUAAGUAUUAAUUAGUCGUCAUUUU
rnacentral:lncRNA from 1 species